rnacentral:ncRNA from 1 species
GAGGUAGAGAAGAGUUUCAUACAAACAGCAGUUAUCCAUGGCUCAGGCGGUCCUAAUUGAUCAGGUUUAUCGAAACAGAGACGCAGUACCUGAUAUUUUCCGCUUGCAGGCUUUGUUAUUAUCGCUGCUAAACUGUACUGUUGCAGCACACAACCAUGAAGCGAAAAGGAAUCAAGUUAAUAUUUAUGACUCCGUCGACGGAGAUUGAUGCAUGUUAAAACUUUGGUUCACUGCGGGCUCAUUGCGAAAAAGCAUUCGAAUCAGGAGACUUUGUCGGGAGCUCUAAGAAGAGUAUUCUUUUCUUUGUUAGAAGUAUAUCCACUUCCGUGGAAUUGCCAUAUCCGAAGAUAGGUGGGCCAGCCUUCGUGAAGCACCAACCUUCUUAUGGUGUCUGGAACUCCCUUGUCAGCCUUUUAAAUCCGUUCUGAUAACUAAAGCAGGCCUCUAAGGUGAACAGUCUCU